UGCCAGACUCCUACGGGAGGCAGCAGUGAGGGAUAUUGGUCAAUGGGGGAAACCCUGAACCAGCAACGCCGCGUGAGGGAAGACGGUUUUCGGAUUGUAAACCUCUGUCCUCUGUGAAGAUAAUGACGGUGGCAGAGGAGGAAGCUCCGGCUAACUACGUGCCAGCAGCCGCGGUAAUACGGAGGAUGCGAGCGUUAUCCGGAUUUAUUGGGUUUAAAGGGUGCGUAGGCGGAAUGCCAAGUCAGCGGUAAAAUCGCGGGGCUCAACCUCGCUCCGCCGUUGAAACUGGCGUUCUUGAGUGGGCGAGAAGUAUGCGGAAUGCGUGGUGUAGCGGUGAAAUGCAUAGAUAUCACGCAGAACUCCGAUUGCGAAGGCAGCAUACCGGCGCCCAACUGACGCUGAAGCACGAAAGCGUGGGUAUCGAACAGGAUUAGAUACCCCAGUA
rnacentral:rRNA from 1 species